rnacentral:siRNA from 1 species
GAAAUAAACUCGUACGAUGAUGU